AGAUUGAACGCUGGCGGCAGGCCUAACACAUGCAAGUCGAGCGGCAGCACGGGUACUUGUAUCUGGUGGCGAGCGGCGGACGGGUGAGUAAUGCCUAGGAAUCUGCCUGGUAGUGGGGGAUAACGCUCGGAAACGGACGCUAAUACCGCAUACGUCCUACGGGAGAAAGCAGGGGACCUUCGGGCCUUGCGCUAUCAGAUGAGCCUAGGUCGGAUUAGCUAGUUGGUGGGUAAUGGCUCACCAAGGCGACGAUCCGUAACUGGUCUGAGAGGAUGAUCAGUCACACUGGAACUGAGACACGGUCCAGACUCCUACGGGAGGCAGCAGUGGGAAUAUUGGACAAUGGGCGAAAGCCUGAUCCAGCCAUGCCGCGUGUGUGAAGAAGGUCUUCGGAUUGUAAAGCAACUUUAAGUUGGAGGAAGGCAGUUACCUAAUACGUAUCUGUUUGACGUUACCGACAGAAUAAGCACCGGCUAACUCUGUG
rnacentral:rRNA from 1 species